GGUGAACGCUGGCGGUAGGCCUAACACAUGCAAGUCGAACGGCAGCACAGUAAGAGCUUGCUCUUACGGGAGGCGAGUGGCGGACGGGUGAGGAAUACAUCGGAAUCUACUUUUUCGUGGGGGAUAACGUAGGGAAACUUACGCUAAUACCGCAUACGACCUACGGGUGAAAGCAGGGGAUCUUCGGACCUUGCGCGAUUGAAUGAGCCGAUGUCGGAUGAGCUAGUUGGCGGGGUAAAGGCCCACCAAGGCGACGAUCCGUAGCUGGUCUGAGAGGAUGAUCAGCCACACUGGAACUGAGACACGGUCCAGACUCCGACGGGAGGCAGCAGUGGGGAAUAUUGGACAAUGGGCGCAAGCCUGAUCCAGCCAUACCGCGUGGGUGAAGAAGGCCUUCGGGUUGUAAAGCCCUUUUGUUGGGAAAGAAAAGCAGCAGGUUAAUACCCCGCUGUUCUGACGGUACCCAAAGAAUAAGCACCGGCUAACUUCGUG
rnacentral:rRNA from 1 species